rnacentral:rRNA from 1 species
GACGAACGCUGGCGGCGUGCUUAACACAUGCAAGUCGAACGGAAAGGCCCUGCUUUUGUGGGGUGCUCGAGUGGCGAACGGGUGAGUAACACGUGAGUAACCUGCCCUUGACUUUGGGAUAACUUCAGGAAACUGGGGCUAAUACCGGAUAGGAGCUCCUGCUGCAUGGUGGGGGUUGGAAAGUUUCGGCGGUUGGGGAUGGAUUCGCGGCUUAUCAGCUUGUUGGUGGGGUAGUGGCUUACCAAGGCUUUGACGGGUAGCCGGCCUGAGAGGGUGACCGGCCACAUCGGGACUGAGAUACGGCCCAGACUCCUACGGGAGGCAGCAGUGGGGAAUAUUGCACAAUGGGCGGAAGCCUGAUGCAGCAACGCCGCGUGCGGGAUGACGGCCUUCGGGUUGUAAACCGCUUUCGCCUGUGACGAAGCGUGAGUGACGGUAAUGGGUAAAGAAGCACCGGCUAACUACGUG